CAGCCGCCGCGGUAAUACGUAGGUGGCAAGCGUUGUCCGGAAUUAUUGGGCGUAAAGGGCUCGCAGGCGGUUUCUUAAGUCUGAUGUGAAAGCCCCCGGCUCAACCGGGGAGGGUCAUUGGAAACUGGGAAACUUGAGUGCAGAAGAGUAGAGUGGAAUUCCACGUGUAGCGGUGAAAUGCGUAGAGAUGUGGAGGAACACCAGUGGCGAAGGCGACUCUCUGGUCUGUAACUGACGCUGAGGAGCGAAAGCGUGGGGAGCGAACAGGAUUAGAUACCCCCGUAGUCCCUGUCUCUUAUAC
rnacentral:rRNA from 1 species